CCUACGGGGGGCAGCAGUGAGGAAUAUUGGUCAAUGGGCGGGAGCCUGAACCAGCCAAGCCGCGUGAGGGAAGAAGGUACAGCGUAUCGUAAACCUCUUUUGUCAGGGAACAAAGGCGGGGACUAGUCCCCUGAUGAGGGUACCUGAAGAAAAAGCAUCGGCUAACUCCGUGCCAGCAGCCGCGGUAAUACGGAGGCUGCGAGCGUUAUCCGGAUUUAUUGGGUUUAAAGGGUGCGCAGGCGGCCUGGUAAGUCAGCGGUAAAAGCCCGGGGCUAAACCCCGGCGAGCCGUUGAAACUGGCGGGCUGGAGUUGGAGAGAAGGACGCGGAAUGCGCGGUGUAGCGGUGAAAUGCUUAGAUAUCGCGAAGAACCCCGAUUGCGAAGGCAGCGUACCGGCUCCACACUGACGCUGAGGCACGAAAGCGUGGGUAGCGAACAGGAUUAGAUACCCCUGUAGUC
rnacentral:rRNA from 1 species